rnacentral:lncRNA from 1 species
GCUCUGACGGCAGCUGGCUGUCUGGAGAUUGAGUCGACUCCUAAAUCACAGUAAGGUAAGGAUUGUAGCCAGUGUUUGCUUUAUCUGUAUAGAAGAAGCUCGGAGAAAGCAAACCCAAUGGUAGGUUUUCUUGGUGUUACAGACUGUUGCGAACAGGAGCAGGGGUAAGCACAGGGUGGCUCCUGCCUAGAGUCCUCUGUGGGUGUACCUUCAACAUCUACCUGGUGAGAAGACAGAGCUGGUCUGCGGGUGUCAACUGUGUAUCAGACAGAGGGGACUCUGUCCAGGGGAUGUUGCUGGGAGAGCAGAAACCCAACGUGUAGCAGCUGAGAACCCACAGAUGGGAUUCCCCCCGUGAUGGCCUGUCCAGGCAAGUUUACAAAGUAACCAGGUGGUGAUCAUACUGAGCACUGUUUUUGGUCAGUUCCACAGGCAUUUAUUUAUUUACUUAUCUAUUCAUCUAUCUAUCUAUUUAUUUAUUUUUCAGUUGUAGAUGGACACAAUACCUUUAUUUGUUUAUUUAUUUUUAUGUGGUGCCAGGGAUCAAACUCAGUGCCUCACGUAUGCUUGGUAAAUGCUCUACCACUGAGCCACAACUGCAGUCCCUUUAUUUUCUUUUUUUAAGUCUCCUAAAAUUACACAUAUUUCUUCUGAGUCUUUCAUAAUCUCAAAUGUUGGGCAGCACCGAUUGAAAAAUAAAUUCUAUGCAUUUAAGCUGCAUUGACGAUUCAUAUCUUGUGGUCUAGGCCAGGAAAAAACAGAAAACAUUUUAGUGACCGAAAUAGCUCUGUCGGGCUUUACAUGUCCCUUUAACCCAGACUUUACCUACAUGAAAACCUUUUAGUAAAAAUGUGGAUGUGUAACCGAUGUGAUUCUGCAAUUUGUAUUUGGGGUAAAAAUGGGAGUUCAUA